CAAAAAAGCACCAAUUGAGGAAAGACAAAUCCCAAGCAGGAAAAACCCAACAAGAGAAAUCACACUCAGAAAACCAAAUCAAACUAAACUAAGCAGAACUAAACAGAACAAAGCAUAAUAGAAAAUGUCCAGAUCAUGACAC